rnacentral:rRNA from 1 species
UAGGGAAUCUUCGGCAAUGGACGAAAGUCUGACCGAGCAACGCCGCGUGAGUGAAGAAGGUUUUCGGAUCGUAAAACUCUGUUGUUAGAGAAGAACAAGGACGUUAGUAACUGAACGUCCCCUGACGGUAUCUAACCAGAAAGCCACGGCUAACUACGUGCCAGCAGCCGCGGUAAUACGUAGGUGGCAAGCGUUGUCCGGAUUUAUUGGGCGUAAAGCGAGCGCAGGCGGUUUCUUAAGUCUGAUGUGAAAGCCCCCGGCUCAACCGGGGAGGGUCAUUGGAAACUGGGAGACUUGAGUGCAGAAGAGGAGAGUGGAAUUCUAUGUGUAGCGGUGAAAUGCGUAGAUAUAUGGGGGAACACCAGUGGCGAAGGCGGCUCUCUGGUCUGUAACUGACGCUGAGGCUCGAAAGCGUGGGGAGCAAACAGG